ACGAACGCUGGCGGCGUGGAUAAGGCAUGCAAGUCGAACGGAACUUUUUUUGUUCAAGAUGCGAUUACAUCAAGUCAAGAAUGGCUGAAGUUUAGUGGCAGACGAGGUAGGAAUACUUAGGUACGUACCCCCGAGUCGGGCACAACCAACCGAAAGGUUGGCUAAUUCCCGAUGGUUCUCGCAAGAGUAAAGGAGCAAUUCGCUCGGGGAGCGGCCUAUGGGCUAUCAGCUUGUUGGUAGGGUAAUGGCCUACCAAGGCAAUGACGGCUAGGGGACCUGAGAGGGUGACCCCCACCGACGGGACUGAGACACGGCCCGUACACCUACGGGUGGCAGCAGUCGAGAAUCUUCGACAAUGGGCGAAAGCCUGAUCGAGCGACGCCGCGUGCAGGAUGAAAUCCUUCGGGAUGUAAACUGCUUUUGGCAGGGAAGAACACAAUGACGGUACCUGCAGAAUAAGGGCUUGCUAACCUCGU
rnacentral:rRNA from 1 species